GCUCCCUGAGCCUCUGGCUCCUGUAAGCCAGAUCUCCAGGCCCAGGCAGGGUCUGAGGGCUGUGGGGUGCAGGACCAGCCCUCCCCUCAGGCUUGUUUCUGAGCUGCCCCACAGUGUGGUGUCGGGUCACAGUACCUGACACACCAGCCCCUGGAAAACACACCCCACGCUCCACCUGGAACUACUGCAGUGCUUCAGACAGGAGCAGGGCUUCUGUGUUUGGACAAACAGGAGAAGAUGCUGACUUCUUAAUGGGACUCAGUGGAAACUUGCAGUGUGACCCCUCCGUCUUUCCAAGUUGCAUCCCAUGUCAGAGGCCAGCACUUAGCCCACCGCAGUGAGCACCUGGAGCCACACAGUGGCCGGGCUUGAGAGGCAGGGAAGGCUGGGGUUCUGGGGAUGCGGCCCCAGGAAGCAGGCCACACUCACGGUGCCCCUGGGAGCUGUAAGCGGGUGACCGCAUGGCCCUUCCUCUCUCUCCCUCCCUCUGUGCAAUACCUCUCCCUUUUCUGACAGCGUACUUACUUAUGCUCUGACUCCGACACCCAGUUGUCCCAUUUGUGAAGGAGGGAGGCGGGAGCAGGUUGGUAGUGACCUUUGCGAUUGUUCACAAAGACACAACCUGGACCGAUGCCAGGGUGAGCAUGUCCACCCCUGCAGGCUGCCCGUGCCUUGGCCCGCUCCUGGGAGCCAUUCUGGAAGGUGGUUCCUGAGUCGUGGGCAAAGAACGCCCAGUGCAGAGUGACGCCCUUCCCCACUGCUGUGUGACCGGGCCUGGCCCAGAGCAGAGCUGCCGUGUGAGCCUGGCAUCACCUCACCACGCUGGCCCAGCGGGCAAGGACCUUGCACUUUCGAGGCAGGCGGUGGAACCACUGAGCUACAUUCCCAGCUCAGGAAUUUGUCUUCCUUUCUGAGGCGUCUCCACACUGAUCUCUGCAGUGUUGUACCUGCGUACUCCCCCACCCGUGGGGAAGGCCCCUCGCCAGCGCCUUGUUACUGCUGGGUUUCUUGAAGAUGGCCCUGCCCUCUGGGGAUGGUGGGACUGCGGUGCUGCCUUUAAUUUAAUCCCUUAUUCUCAGCGUUGCUGUUUACUCCCUUCAAGUCCUGAACUCACACAGGUAGUUUCAAAGUUGCCAACCCUUUGUGCCAUGAAAAAGAAAACCUACUGGAGUUGAAGCUCAGCACUUUUCCUUUUGGGGAGAGGUGGGCAGGCAGGGAGAGGCGGGGCUGAGUGAGUCUGUGGCACAGAUGCCCACACCGCCCACCGGGCCUCCGCUCUUCGGCCCUGCCACGGGAAGCCCUGCGUCUGCGCUUUCCAGCCCUCCCUGCUGUCGGGGCUCAGCCAGGGAGGCUGUUGGCAGCCCCUUUAUCAGGAGGUGGGAAUGCCUGGGGCCCAGGCAAUGGGACAUCAAAUGUCCUUGACGGAGAAAGGGUAAUUUCAUCCAGGUUCCUCAAACACUCGGAAUGGAGCCAGCGUGUGGCACGCUGCAGUUGGCUUCUGGGUGCUCACAUCCAAGGCUGCGGAGCUGGUGUGGCAAGGAGACACCUACACGCCACGUCCACCACAGCUGAGGAAAAACAGUGCACCCAGGCAUGCCCCACCAAUGAGCGUGUGAAGGGACAGUGGACGCGCAUGGCAGCAUGCCGUGAGCCUCACAGAAGAGGGAAACAUGUCCUUUCUGACACACAGGUGAAUCUGGGCGAUGUUAAGUAAGACACACCAAGCAACAACAACAAUACCUGUGUGUGUGCGGUGCUGGGGACUGGACCCAGGACCUUCACACUGAGCUACAUCCCCACCUUUUCAUUUUCUGUUUUGAGACAGGGUCUCGCUAACUUGCUCAGUUGCCCAAGCUGGGCUCAAACUUGCCAUCCUCCUGCCUCUGCCUCCCAGUGCUGGGAUGACAGGCGUGCACCACCACACUUAGUUCCUGCUCUAACUUUUCAACAAAAUCCAUUACACUGUAGGAAAAGGUAAAAGAAAACUACGCGAUGGCUUUCUGGAUCUUUGUGUUCUAAACGCUGCCCUAACUUCUUGGAGAAGGCUUGUCGGUCAGUCGGGACUCAAGAAAGCCCUGGGCCUCCCAGGAGGCGCCGCCCCUCCUCGGCCCCAUGCACUGGCCUUGGGGAACCCUUCGGGUUGCCCAGACGCGAGGAUGGGGCUCCUCCUCCUCCACAGGCCCAGCACUGCCUCUGCUGAGGGUAGAUUUUGUUGGAUUCAUAUGCUUGUAGAAAGCAUAGAGAUACAAGUUUAGAAGGAGAAGCAGUCACAGUGGGAACAAGGAGAAGCGAGGAGAGAGGCCGCUUCCCUUGCUGGAGCCGGAGCUCGAGGGCCUUGGUUCCCAGCGCCUCUCCCGAGAGUUACACCUGCAUCAGCUGCUCCUAGGCUCAGACCCUGCCUUGGCCGUGGACCCUCCCUGCCCUUGCACUCUCCCCUCUCUCCGUGAGAUUUGUGACGGGGCCUCAGGCUGACGGCCAAGUUAGCAAGUAUUAAGAGGUACGUGCGCAUGUCAGUGCAUUCACAUGCUGAGAGAAUAAUAAAAUACAGGGCCGGGAUUUAGCUCAGUGGUCAUGCCUGCCUUGCAAGCACAAGGUCCCCAGUUCGAUCCCCGGUACCCAAAGAAACCAACAACAUACCUGCAUUUAUACACAGGUGCCUGAGCAACCAGGCACAAAUGUACAGCUGCCCCUGAAGUGUGUUUCCCUGCAAUUCAGCCUGUCCACUGCGGCCCCUCUGCACCUGGCUGGAGCCCAGAGGAGGACCUGGGCCUGCGACACCCUGCUCAUGCUCCGCCUGUCCUGCUCCCUCCAGGUCAGGGGUUUGCCGAGUCCUUCCCUUCCCUGCCCUGACCCCUGCCCUGACAAAGCCCUCCCGACGGAUGCAGGUGCCGGUAGAUAAAGGACAGGGACUGACGAUGUCUUACUGCAUCUGUGCACAUUUUAGUCAGUUCACCAAGCACCUCCCAGGCCGCAGGGCCCAGCGGGGCUGCGCUCCUGCCUGGCCCUACUGGUCCCAGUCCUUGACGAUGCUCAGGACGCCCCGCUCAGGGGCGGGGCCUGCCAGCCUGGCCAGCACGUCCAGCCCUCCGUGCUCCUUCUCCCUGGAGGACACAAAGUGGGCAGCUCCUGCACCCGGACCCCGGGGCGCCCGCCCGUGUCCCCGUCCCUGUCCCCGUGGCCUGCGCAGCUCCCGGAUCUGUGCGGGCCAGGCCGAUUGGGACCGCAGGGCAGGAGCCCGGGCACCGCUUACCGGAGGACAACGUUGCAUGCCUGCGCGGUGGCCGCUGACCAAGGCCUGCUGGCCCCGCUCCCCAACAUCGUUCCCGCUCACGUCCAGGUGCCUCAGCUCCAGGUUGGUGCCCGGCACAGCCGGCCAGGGCAAGGCAGCCAGCAGAGGACAUGCAGGUGGCAGCUGGGGCACGCCAGGGCCUCGCACAGAGUGGCGGCGCCGUCAUCCCCGAGGGUCAUUGAGGCUGAGGUCCAGGCUUUGGAGGCGCGCUGCUCUCUCGAGAGCUGAGGCCACGUCCUGACAGCAAGCCGAGUGAGACCGAGGACUCAUGUGCUGACUCUGUCUUCCACCACUUGAGGAACAGCCAAGAACGUCUUCCUGAAGUGCCAGCACCUUCUCCUGCUUCUCCGGGGAAAGCUCAAAGUGUCAGUGCUUCCUCAGCAGGCAUGGGCGCGUGACCCAGAGGCCCACACCUGCAGACUCCGGCGACUUUUCCUCUCGGAGACACAUCGUCAUCGGCCUCACACUUGCCAUCCUCCUGCCUCAGCCUCCCAGAGUGCUGGGGUCACAGGCGUGCACCACCAUGCCUGGCUCCGUAUUUAAUUCUGUGCUGAACUUCCUCCCGUGACAGCCAAGUGAGACCUCCCCAGGAGGAAGGCAGCGUGACCUGGACACUGACCCUGAGCCCCCGCCCGGCUCUUGUGAUGAGCAGAUGUCGCCGUCCUGCGCAUCUGCAGGGCCCUGGGUGCCUGGGCCCCGCUAACCUGCCUCUUCAGUGGAAAUAACACCCUUUUCCUGACUGCUGUCCCCUGGCACAAGCAUGGCUCCAAUAGGCCUCUGUGGGUCACACGUGUGCCACAGACUAGAACACGAAGCAGGUGUGCUCGGCACUGCUCCCCGCACGCCGAGCCUCAAGGGGAGGCACCUGGGGACUCACACCAGCCUCUGGAGGGGCAGCGCCGCGCUUGCCAGGCUCUCCCAGAUGUGCCUCGCCCCUUCAUCCUUCAGGGCAUUGCCCGCCAGGCUCAGGUGCGUCAGCGUCCGGCUGCUCCCCAGGGAGACGGCCACGCCCGGGCAGGCCAGCUUCAUGAGCCCGCAGCCUCCAGCCUGGGGACAGAGACUCGAGGUGAGCUGCGGACAGGUGGCCGGGUGUGGGGAUGCACGCCUGUGACCCCAGCCCUCUGGGAGGCUGAGGCAGGGGGGAUUGUAAGUUCAAGCCCAGCCUGGGCAAUUUAGCGUCUGGGGGAGAACCUGUCUCAAAAUAAACAAAAAAAGGGCUGAUUGUGUCACACAGCGUGAAGGCCUGCCAGCAGUUCCCUAUACCAAAAAUAUCCCAGCCAACCAAAGGAACAAACAGCCCCGCCCGCCCCUGUGAGACAGGAAAGGGAUGGCCCAGGAGGAGGAGAGGCGCAGAAGCCUGGCCUGCAGUUUAGAGCUAAGGCGGAGGCUGAGGUUGUGGAAAGCGUUCGUCAGGGAUCAGCGUGACGCAAUGAAAACGGGAUCCCGUUCCCACGCCACCGAGUGGAAAAGCGGUCAGAAAGCGGGCUGCGAAGGCUCAGAGGAGCUGUCAGACGCGCUAUGGGUGGACGGAGCCCGGAGGUGCGCAGCCCGGAGGAGCGCGACCUGCAGCACGGCCGCCCUGUGCAGCAACGCCCGCCACAGCACCCGUGUGUGUGUGUAUGCGCGCAGUGUGCGCGUGUAACUGUAAGAGCGGGCAGCAGGGCAAACCCCAGCCUGCAGGGCAGCAGAGAGCUCCCUGCACGUUCACACAAACAUUAACAUGGGCAGCGAAGAGGAGCCGACCGCAGAAGGGAGCAGGAAAAUACUGCUCAGAAAGGAGGGCUCCUUCGUGUGAGCAGUGUGGGGCUUAGCGACUCCUGCUUAAGGAUAAACGUGUGAUGAGGCCAGUGCUAAAAUGCCAGCCUUCCCCGCCUCGGAAUGGCCGCCGUGAGUGUGUCAGCGUGUCACCACUGUGAGCUCAGACGGGCUGGCGAGGUUCUGUUUGGUCCAGGGGCCGCCCCGCCAGCUGGGGCCGCGCCGUCACCCCAGGCUGCCGCCCAGCGGACUCACGCCAACCUCCGGAGCUGCCUCGCAGACACGAAGAUCGCCGCCGACAGCGCCAGGCAGGCUCCACUCAGCGCCAGGGUCUGCAGGUGUGCGCUGUCUUGAAGGUCGCGGGCCAGGAGGACCCACUCUCGAGGGGGGGCCACGCAGGACACCAGCCUGGGGGGGAUGCAGGACACCCACGCAUGCGCACGCCGAGCCUGGGCUGGGGUCACGGCCCUUGGGGGGCGCCUCGGGGGUCCCGACUCCCCCAGCCGUAUGCCUGUGCCAGGCGCGGCCACGCGCACACUGGGCCGCAACCCCUGGACAGGACGAGGCGGCUCCGGCCCUGGAAACAGCUUCCCUCCGGCGCCUUUGCCGGACAAGCACGCGGGAGAGGAGGCGAUGCAGCCACGGGGCUGACUCCGAGUCCCGAAGCUCCUUCGGGCAAAGCCAGGCCUCGCGCUGAGCCGUCCUGGCCCGCUCAGGCUGCUGGGUGGUGCUGGGUGCUGCGACCCUCUGACUCCUCCCUCGCCAGCUCCUCCUGGCUGGGUUCAGCUGCCCGUGGAGGUCACGACCCUGACAUCGUGUUUCCACCUUGUGGAUCCAGGAGACGUCAGCAGCUUCAGGGCAUAGACCAGCAGCGGGCAGGGGCUAAGCUGACACUGUACAGGCUGUGAGGUGUGUGUGUGUGAGUGU
rnacentral:lncRNA from 1 species